CAUAGGUCCUAACACCAUUGAGAAACAUAUCUACCAUAUCAUAAACUAGUGGCUCAAGAUAGACAUCAAUAUCACUACCAGGGGAAUUUCGGCCAGGAAUCAACAAUGAUAGGAUGAAAUUUGAUUGCUUCAUAAUCAUCCAGGGUGGAAAGUUAUAAGGAAUCAAUAAUACUGGCCAAAUGCUAUAGUUGACAUUCAUGGAUCUAAAC
rnacentral:lncRNA from 1 species